AACGAACGCUGGCGGCAUGCCUAACACAUGCAAGUCGAACGAGACCUUCGGGACUAGUGGCGCAUGGGUGCGUAACGCGUGGGAACCUGAACUUAGGGUUGGAAUAACUCCACGAAAGGGGUGAUAAUACCGGAUAAUGUCUACGGACCAAAGAUUUAUUGCACUUGGAUGGGCCCGCGUUGGAUUAGCUAGUUGGUAAGGUAAAAGCCUACCAAGGCGACGAUCAAUAGCUGGGCUGAGAGGAUGAUCAGCAACACUGGGACUCAGACACGGCCCAGACUCCUACGGGAGGCAGCAGUGGGGAAUAUUGGACAAUGGGCGAAAGCCUGAUGCAGCAAUGCCGCGUGAGUGAUGAAGGCCUUAGGGUUGUAAAGCUCUUUUACCCGGGAUGAUAAUGACAGUACCGGGAGAAUAAGCUCCGGCUAACUCCGUG
rnacentral:rRNA from 1 species